UCGGCGGGCAGGGGGUGCCGCCUGCGGACCCCCCUCCCGGCCCUGCCCUCACGGGCGGAGCGCCCGCCGGAGGAUACCAAACUCUAUUUUAACGACGUUUCUUCUGAGUGGCACAAGCAAAUAAUUAAAACUUUCAACAACGGAUCUCUUGGUUCUGGCAUCGAUGAAGAACGCAGCGAAAUGCGAUAAGUAAUGUGAAUUGCAGAAUUCAGUGAAUCAUCGAAUCUUUGAACGCACAUUGCGCCCGCCAGCAUUCUGGCGGGCAUGCCUGUUCGAGCGUCAUUUCAACCCUCAAGCUCUGCUUGGUGUUGGGGCCCUACGGUUGACGUAGGCCCUUAAAGGUAGUGGCGGACCCUCUCGGAGCCUCCUUUGCGUAGUAACUAACGUCUCGCACUGGGAUUCGGAGGGACUCUUGCCGUAAAACCCCCAAAUUUUUAAAGGUUGACCUCGGAUCAGGUAGGAAUACCCGCUGAACUUAAG
rnacentral:rRNA from 1 species